UCCUGUAACAAAUUUUCAAAACCCUUCAAUCACGAUGAAGUAAUCAAUGACGUUAAACAGUUCAUUUAAUGGAUCUUUCAUUUAAUAUAUAAACCCUUCAAAUUCAAUCUUUAACUCAGAUUUAAUUUUAACGAAUGCAGUUAAACAUGGGAAAAGGACACAUAGCUAUCUCUGCACCAACAAAACAUGUCAGUGAUACAAGGCUGAACAGUCCGAGUUUUGGAAACGGAUCUCAACUGACGCCAACAAUUUCUGUUGAAGACUUUUGCAGUGAAGAACCAUUUAGGGCACGGCCGGAAUCAAGGAAUUCAAUCUCAUCAAUAAGUUCUGACCUUGGCUAUCUUACAAUCCAAGAAAAACUCAAAAGUAAAGACCGUAGACCUAAAUCCGCUGACACCUAUCGACGGAAGUCGGAAAUUUCAAAACAAACAGUUAACAUUUCUUGUCUUAGAAAAGCAGCAUCUGAAAACAUUUUAAGCAGCGAAGUUAAUUCAAAAGAAUGUAGGUGUACUUGUUCGUCAACUGGUGGAUCAGUAAAUACCGGAGUUUUAGGAAGCCAACUUGUGUCGUUUUACAGUCUUUGGAGAAACAACCAACCCAGAACUUUGGGCAAAAAGCUUGAAAUUCCUUCUUAUAUGAAGAGAACAUCAGACUAUAGAGAAUGCGGCUGCAAAACAAGACUUUAUGAGAAGAGGUGCUCUGAAGAAAAAUCUUUAGAAUGUUGCUGUCAUGACGUUUAAAAAGGACAAAAAUUUUAAGGUGCUUGUGCAAUCAUUUAGAUGAACUAAUUUUAAUGUAAGCUAUUCGAUUGUAUAUUUUUUUGUAUACUUUGUUACAUAAAAUUAUAAUGAAAUUCUU